AUUCCAGCUCCAAUAGCGUAUAUUAAAGUUGUUGUGGUUAAAAAGCUCGUAGUUGGAUCUCGGCGGUCUGAGGGCGGUUCGCUUCAGAGCGCUACUGCCCUAUAGACCGUAGUUUUGCCAGAGGUCUCAGGGUGCUCUUAACCGAGUGUCUUGCGAUGCUGGCAGGUUUACUUUGAAAAAAUUAGAGUGCUCAAAGCAGGCUUUUACGCCUGAAUAUUCGUGCAUGGAAUAAUAGAAUAGGAAGUCGUUUCUAUUUUGUUGGUUUCUAGGACGUAGGUAAUGAUUAAUAGGGACAGUUGGGGGCAUUAGUAUUUAAGUGUCAGAGGUGAAAUUCUUGGAUUGCUUAAAGACUAACUUCUGCGAAAGCAUUUGCCAAGGAUGUUUUCAUCG
rnacentral:rRNA from 1 species